rnacentral:rRNA from 1 species
ACAUCCAGAGAAUUUAGCAGAGAUGCUUUAGUGCCUUCGGGAACUCUGAGACAGGUGCUGCAUGGCUGUCGUCAGCUCGUGUUGUGAAAUGUUGGGUUAAGUCCCGNAACAAGCGCAACCCUUAUCCUUUGUUGCCAGCACGUAAUGGUGGGAACUCAAAGGAGACUGCCGGUGAUAAACCGGAGGAAGGUGGGGAUGACGUCAAGUCAUCAUGGCCCUUACGAGUAGGGCUACACACGUGCUACAAUGGCGCAUACAAAGAGAAGCGACCUCGCGAGAGCAAGCGGACCUCAUAAAGUGCGUCGUAGUCCGGAUUGGAGUCUGCAACUCGACUCCAUGAAGUCGGAAUCGCUAGUAAUCGUAAAUCAGAAUGUUACGGUGAAUACGUUCCCGGGCCUUGUACACACCGCCCGUCACACCAUGGGAGUGGGUUGCAAAAGAAGUAGAUAGCUUAACCUUCGGGAGGGCGUUUACCACUUUGUGAUUCAUGACUGGGGUGAAGUCGUAACAAGGUAAGCGUAGUGCU